rnacentral:rRNA from 1 species
AACACAUGCAAGUCGAGGGCAGCAUAAAAGUAGCAAUACUUGGUGGCGACCGGCGCACGGGUGAGUAACGCGUAUGCAACCUACCGUAUCAGAGGGGAAUAACCCGGCGAAAGUCGGACUAAUACCGCAUAAAACAGGGGCACCGCAUGGUGAUAUUUGUUAAAGAAAUUCGCUGAUAGAUGGGCAUGCGUUCCAUUAGGUAGUUGGUGAGGUAACGGCUCACCAAGCCGACGAUGGAUAGGGGAACUGAGAGGUUGGUCCCCCACACUGGUACUGAGACACGGACCAGACUCCUACGGGAGGCAGCAGUGAGGAAUAUUGGUCAAUGGGCAGGAGCCUGAACCAGCCAAGUCGCGUGAAGGAAGAAGGAUCUAUGGUUCGUAAACUUCUUUUGCAGGGGAAUAAAGUGCAGGACGUGUCCUGUUUUGUAUGUACCCUGAGAAUAAGGAUCGGCUAACUCCGUGCCAGCCGCAGC